GGUCAGGUCGCCAAGUUGGUAAGGCGUCGGUCUGCAAAACCGACUAGCGUGGGUUCAAGUCCCACUCUGACCU
rnacentral:tRNA from 2 species